rnacentral:rRNA from 1 species
CCUACGGUGAGCAGCAGUGAGGAAUAUUUGUCAAUGGGCGCGAGCCUGAACCAGCCAAGUAGCGUGAAGGAUGACUGCCCUAUGGGUUGUAAACUUCUUUUAUAUUGGAAUAAAGUGUUGCACGUGUGCCUUUUUGUAUGUACUUUAUGAAUAAGGAUCGGCUAACUCCGUGCCAGCAGCCGCGGUAAUACGGAGGAUCCGAGCGUUAUCCGGAUUUAUUGGGUUUAAAGGGAGCGUAGGUGGGUUGUUAAGUCAGUUGUGAAAGUGUGCGGCUCAACCGUAAAAUUGCAGUUGAUACUGGCAGCCUUGAGUACAGUAGAGGUAGGCGGAAUUCGUGGUGUAGCGGUGAAAUGCUGAGAUAUCACGAAGAACUCCGAUUGCGAAGGCAGCUCACUAGACUGCCACUGACAUUGAGGCUCGAAAGUGUGGGUAUCAAACAGGAUUAGAUACCCCAGUAGUC